rnacentral:rRNA from 1 species
UACGUAGGGGGCAAGCGUUGUCCGGAAUUACUGGGCGUAAAGCGUGCGCAGGCGGUUUGUUAAGUCUGAUGUGAAAGCCCCGGGCUCAACCUGGGAACUGCAUUGGAAACUGGCAAGCUCGAGUAUGGCAGAGGGGGGUGGAAUUCCGCGUGUAGCAGUGAAAUGCGUAGAGAUGCGGAGGAACACCGAUGGCGAAGGCAGCCCCCUGGGCCAAUACUGACGCUCAGGCACGAAAGCGUGGGGAGCAAACAGG